rnacentral:rRNA from 1 species
AAGUUUAAAGACGAAUCUAACUAACAGUGUCGUCCAAAUUCUGGUGCCAGAAGACUCGGUAAUACCAGAGACGCGAACGUUAAUCAUCUUUAAUGGGCAUAAAGGGUUUGUAGGCGGCUUAUUUAUUAAUAGGCUAGAAUCUUAUAGAGGUUAAUAAAAUACUUAGAGGAGGGCUGAUAUCCUUAGAUCCUAAGUGGAAUCCUAAUUGCGAAGGCCAUUUUCCACUACAGAUUGACGCUGAUACACGAAGGUUAGGAUAGGAACUAGGAUUAGAGACCCUAUUACCCCUAACUGUAAACGAUGAAUGGAAGAUAUUUACAACUGUAAGUGUCGAAGUGAAUACGAUAACCAUUCCGCCUUGCCAGUAUACUUGCAAAAGUGAAAACAAAAAAAUUAGUCGGUCCUAAAGCAAACG